CAAUUAUAUAGUAAACUUGAUUAACUAUCGGCAUAAGUUUUCAAUAUAGAAAAUAACCCAUGUAAGAUUAGGCUAAAUAAAAAACCCAAGGUAGCCAGACAGACUCUUUAGCGAUAAGUAUGUAUACUAUAGGACUUUCCCAGAGAUUACAAUAAAUGCGCUGUAAAAAAUAUGCAUAUAAAUUAUCAAUUUAAGACCCGAGCAUCAGUUGAAAUCGAGCUGCCGCAGACUGCAAGACCUAGACAAAAUGAAGAUUAAAGUCGCCUUGUUUUUGGUCUUCACUACGAUUGCCUUGGCCAGUGGCUUCAGAGCGCCAGAUUGUCCGCAUUGGAGCAAAUGCUGGAAGGAUUAUAAGAGCGGCCGAGUUAUCUACUGAUUGCAAUUUAAAUAUUUAAUAAUGUGUAGUUCUAGAAAUGUCAACAUCAUCAUCAAACUCUGUGCACUCCGUAAUCAUCUAGUGAAUAAAUAGUUAUUAAUUAAAAAUGAUAUGAAACGAUCCCAAUAGAAUGCAAAAACGUGUCAUUUAAAUCGUUUUCCAUUAAGCUUAUGUGCUUAAUUAAGCGUUAAGGCCAUUAGAGCGAAUGCUAUCAGAACUCUGAAGUCCAAACAAUUUUCGCAAUGAAAUGCCAAUGAAAUAAAGCUUAAUGCAAAAUAAA